rnacentral:rRNA from 1 species
UCUUGGUCAUUUAGAGGAAGUAAAAAGUCGUAACAAGGCUCCGUUGGUGAACCAGCGGAGGGAUCAUUA